GACGAACGCUGGCGGCGUGCUUAACACAUGCAAGUCGAACGGAAAGGCCCUGCUUUUGCGGGUCUCUCGAGAGCGGAAGGGGGGAGAAUCACGCGUGUAUCAUCCCCUUAUCUUUGGGAUAUCUUCAGGAAACUGGGGUUAUAACCGCAUAGGAGCUCUUGCGCCUCGUUGGGGGUUGGAAAGUGUCGGCGGUGGGGGCUGGCAUCGCGGCUUACCCGCUUCUUGGUGGGGUAGUGGCUUACCAAGCCUUUGACGGGUAGCCGGCCUGAGAGGGUGACCGGGCACAUUGGGACUGAGAUAGGGCCCAGACGCCUACGGGAGGCAACAGUGGGGAAUAUUGCACAAUGGGCGGAAGCCUGAUGCAACAACGCCGCGUGCGGGAUGACGGCCUUCGGGGUGUAAACCGCUUUCGCCUGUGACGAAGCGUGAGUGACGGUAAUGAGUAAAGAAGCACCGGCUAACUACGUG
rnacentral:rRNA from 1 species